CCCAGACUCCUACGGGAGGCAGCAGUGAGGAAUAUUGGUCAAUGGACGCAAGUCUGAACCAGCCAAGUAGCGUGCAGGAUGACGGCCCUCCGGGUUGUAAACUGCUUUUAUCAGGGACGAAGGAUGUGACGGUACCUGAUGAAUAAGCUCCGGCUAACUACGUGCCAGCAGCCGCGGUAAUACGUAGGGAGCAAGCGUUAUCCGGAUUUACUGGGUGUAAAGGGCGCGUAGGCGGGAUGGCAAGUCAGAUGUGAAAUCCAAGGGCUCAACCCUUGAACUGCAUUUGAAACUGUCGUUCUUGAGUACUGGAGAGGUUGACGGAAUUCCUAGUGUAGCGGUGAAAUGCGUAGAUAUUAGGAGGAACACCAGUGGCGAAGGCGGUCAACUGGACAGCAACUGACGCUGAGGCGCGAAAGCGUGGGGAGCAAACAGGAUUAGAUACCCGCGUAG
rnacentral:rRNA from 1 species